rnacentral:rRNA from 1 species
GACGAACGCUGGCGGCGUGCUUAACACAUGCAAGUCGAACGAAGUGGCGAACGGGUGAGUAACGCGUAAUCAACCUGCCCCUCAGAGGGGGACAACAGUUGGAACCGACUGCUAAUACUGCAUAUUGACGGAGGGGAUUGCGUCUGAUUCGCUAGUUGGAGGGGUAACGGCCCACCAAGGCGAUGAUCAGUAGGCGGCCUGAAGGGAUGAACGGCCAAAUUGGGACUGAGGCACAGCCCAGACUCCUGCGGGAGGCAGCAGUGGGGACUCUUCCGCAAUGGACGAAAGUCGGACGGAGCAACGCGGCGGAAGUGAUGACGGCCUUCGGGUUGUAAAGCUAUGUUAAUCGUGGCACGGUACCGGAAGAGAAAGCCACGGCUAACUACGUGCCAGCAGCCGCGGUAAUUC